CACGUAGGGCGCAAGCGUUGUCCGGAAUUAUUGGGCGUAAAGAGCUCGUAGGCGGUCUGUUGCGUCCGCUGUGAAAACCCGGGGCUUAACCCCUGGCUUGCAGUGGAUACGGACAGACUAGAGGUAGGUAGGGGAGAAUGGAAUUCCCGGUAUAGCGGUGAAAUGCGCAGAUAUCGGGAGGAACACCGGUGGCGAAGGCGGUUCUCUGGGCCUUACCUGACGCUGAGGAGCGAAAGCGUGGGGAGCAAACAGG
rnacentral:rRNA from 1 species